rnacentral:tRNA from 1 species
UAAAAAGAUAAGCUAAAAAAGCUAACGGGCUCAUACCCCGUAAAUGAAAGUCAAGCCUUUCUCUUUUUAA